AAAAAAGUAGCUAAAAUGUGUUUAUAGCAGUCUGUGAAACUAACUGAAGCUCAAUUAUUACAAAGUAGAUAUUUUGUUUGUUUGUAGUUAAUCACAAAGCUACAC